CAAAAUGACUCUCGGCAACGGAUAUCCCGGCUCUCGCAUCGAUGAAGAACGUAGCGAAAUGCGAUACUUGGUGUGAAUUGCAGAAUCCCGUGAACCAUCGAGUCUUUGAACGCAAGUUGCGCCCGAAGCCAUUAGGCUUAGGGCACGUCUGCCUGGGUGUCACG
rnacentral:rRNA from 5 species